rnacentral:rRNA from 1 species
UGAGGAAUAUUGGACAAUGGGCGAAAGCCUGAUCCAGCCAUGCCGCGUGCAGGAUGACGGCCCUACGGGUUGUAAACUGCUUUUAUACGGGAAUAAACCCCCCUACGUGUAGGGGGCUGAAGGUACCGUAAGAAUAAGGACCGGCUAACUCCGUGCCAGCAGCCGCGGUAAUACGGAGGGUCCGAGCGUUAUCCGGAUUUAUUGGGUUUAAAGGGUCCGCAGGCGGGAUAUUAAGUCAGUGGUGAAAGCCUACCGCUUAACGGUAGAACUGCCAUUGAUACUGGUAUUCUUGAGUGUAGUUGAGGUGGGCGGAAUGUGUCAUGUAGCGGUGAAAUGCAUAGAUAUGACACAGAACACCGAUUGCGAAGGCAGCUCACUAAACUAUUACUGACGCUGAGGGACGAAAGCGUGGGGAGCGAACAGGAUUAGAUACCCCCGUAGUCC